rnacentral:lncRNA from 1 species
GUUAAAGUCUACUUUGAAAAAAAAGAGAACAAAAGACCUCUUGUUAGUCCUGGAAGUUUGCCUCCUAAGAUAUCACUGAGGGGAACUGGGAAGAGAGAGAAAAAAAGAAAGCCAGCAGGGCAGAGGAAGCUGCAGGCCUUCAGAAACACAGCCGCACUCUGGAAAGGAAAACAUACUGCCUUUCAUCUCCAGGCCUAUCUGCACCAGCCGCUCCCUCUGCCGCUGUCUUAUGGACCACUGCAGGACACAGGCCAGUGCCCGAUUCCCACACUGACACUGCCGGGGUUAUAGCAGAGUAGACAGAUGUCCACAUCUAACCAUCCCUAGGUGCAAGAUGAGGGAAUAGAGGGAAGAGGGGGUCCCACCCAAUAGAACUUGCUGUCCACUGGAUGUUGUUCUGACAGUGUCUAUGACAACCCAUCUCAACGCCCAUGAGCUUAAUGUGCCACUACCUGGGUCCAGGAGAAAGGAGAAGCAAGCUGGCCCCACUCUAUUUGGGAAAUCUGCUCCAUUCAGUCUUAUAGAGGAGCCACAGGGCCAGUAGACUGAGUGGACUUUUCCAGGCUGUACACUAAAGCUAUCAGGACUCAAGCACCUGAGAGCUCAAUCCCACCCUCUUCAAGUGAAACGAGAAGGUCAAGGAAAGACAAGACAAGAGGAGUUCUCUCCCACACCCUGCCUUUAGAUCAUUAAACAUGUGCCUAUUAUCACUCUAUGGAAAUAUUCCUCCCACUCGUGACCGCCCAAAUGGUGGGGUGGGUCUGUACUGUGAUUGCCCAUCCUGGAAUUGAUACACUGCACCUUGACUUCAAGAAGCUGCAUGGAGAGAGAAGUCAACCCGUUUCUUCUGACUCCCACUUUGUCACCCACAUCCUUCCCGGGAAUCUUCUUGCCCACUCUAAUCUCUCCAGUCCCAGCUCUUACAACGCCGUUCCUCACAUCCCCCGAUGGUCCUCCACCACCUCUUUUGGUAAGUACAUCCACUGUCCUCCAACCACGGACUUCAUGCUAAAUUCCUCUCCACUCUCCUCAGGCACAAACAGCCCAGAAGUGCUCUCAGAUCCAAGCGUUGCUCAGGGAGGGCGGUCGAGUGAGCAUAAGGACUGUUCACCCUCCUGAGGGUAUGAUGUGAUGUCUGAGCAGCCACUUCAAAAACAUUAGGGCCUGUUCCAGGGAUGCCACCCAGACAGGACACUGCUCAAAGCUGCCCCCUGUCCUGGGAACAGAGGCCAAAAGCUCUUGACAAGGACACUUAGCCCUACUGGUAUUGAUGGUGUCACAUGGGUUAGCCCCGAAUGAGGAGGGGUCUGAGUUUUGUUUUGGUUUCCUCUGGUCCAAUCCUGAUGAAACUUUGACUACAUGCUCUGUCCCUUCUACCCUGGGCUGACGGUGGUUAGCAACAGUCUAAGGAAGCCUGAGAGAAGCCCCUCAGAGGAGCCACUUUUGGGCCACCUCCCACCUUAGUGUCACCUCCCGCCUUAGUGUCAUUACCAAUGGGGUACAUUUGCUACCACCUCCUGGCGAAACUGCUCUGGCACACAUUAGCCACUUCUGUUCUCCAGGCCCAGCGGACUCUGAGCUCCCUGGGGCUGUGCCCAGAAUGCACUUGAUAGAAAGCUGAUUCUUUUCCAGUGGGGCAAACAUCUCUGGUCAGGACAUGUCUGUCAGGAGGUGGCCUGCAGAGCUACCACGCCAACUCUCGGAUGUAUGUGUCUUUUUUUUUUCUUUCUGAUUUCCCAGGCAGGAAAACAUGCCUUCCCCUCUGCACAGCCCCAGCUCACCCUACCAACAUUUGCAUUCCCUGGGUAUGAAAGGAGUCAGUAGCUGGCCCCAUGGAGGACAAGGCUGUAAUUCAGCCAGGCCCCAGUGACAUCCCAACCGUGAGAGUGCAGCUGGGGCAGCUUAUGAGCAGCCCUGGAAUCCCAGGGGGAAGCCGGCCCUGUUCUCUAGCCCACAAGCGCCUGUUGUUCACUUUCUUGUUUUUCUCCAAAUGUUUAGAUGUGCUCAGAGCACAGAGAAGCCUGAAACCAAGACCAUGGGCCAGAGCAAGCCUGAAGCAGGGAAGCCCAGGGCUGGAAUUCUGGGGUCCUAAACUCCCUCCUCAGUUAUCCCCACAUCC